AGCAUAUCAAUAAGCGGAGGAAAAGAAACCAACAGGGAUUGCCCUAGUAACGGCGAGUGAAGCGGCAACAGCUCAAAUUUGAAAUCUGGCUCUUUUAGAGUCCGAGUUGUAAUUUGCAGAGGGCGCUUUGGCUUUGGCAGCGGUCCAAGUUCCUUGGAACAGGACGUCACAGAGGGUGAGAAUCCCGUACGUGGUCGCUAGCUAUUGCCGUGUAAAGCCCCUUCGACGAGUCGAGUUGUUUGGGAAUGCAGCUCUAAAUGGGAGGUAAAUUUCUUCUAAAGCUAAAUAUUGGCCAGAGACCGAUAGCGCACAAGUAGAGUGAUCGAAAGAUGAAAAGCACUUUGGAAAGAGAGUCAAACAGCACGUGAAAUUGUUGAAAGGGAAGCGCUUGCAGCCAGACUUGCUUGCAGUUGCUCAUCCGGGCUUUUGCCCGGUGCACUCUUCUGCAGGCAGGCCAGCAUCAGUUUGGGCGGUGGGAUAAAGGUCUCUGUCACGUUCCUUCCUUCGGGUUGGCCAUAUAGGGGAGAUGUCAUACCACCAGCCUGGACUGAGGUCCGCGCAUCUGCUAGGAUGCUGGCGUAAUGGCUGUAAGCGGCCCGUCUUGAAACACGGACCAAGGAGUCUAACAUCUAUGCGAUGU
rnacentral:rRNA from 1 species